UCAGAUUGAACGCNGGCGGCAGGCCUAACACAUGCAAGUCGAGCGGCAGCGGAAAGUAGCUUGCUACUUUGCCGGCGAGCGGCGGACGGGGUGAGUAAUGUCUGGGGAUCUGCCUGAUGGAGGGGGAUAACUACUGGAAACGGUAGCUAAUACCGCAUAACGUCGCAAGACCAAAGCGGGGGACCUUCGGGCCUCGCGCCAUCAGAUGAACCCAGAUGGGAUUAGCUAGUAGGUGGGGUAAUGGCUCACCUAGGCGACGAUCCCUAGCUGGUCUGAGAGGAUGACCAGCCACACUGGAACUGAGACACGGUCCAGACUCCUACGGGAGGCAGCAGUGGGGAAUAUUGCACAAUGGGCGCAAGCCUGAUGCAGCCAUGCCGCGUGUAUGAAGAAGGCCUUCGGGUUGUAAAGUACUUUCAGCGAGGAGGAAGGCAGUAAGGUUAAUAACCUUAUUGAUUGACGUUACUCGCAGAAGAAGCACCGGCUAACUCCGUGCCAGCAGCCGCGGUAAUACGGAGGGUGCAAGCGUUAAUCGGAAUUACUGGGCGUAAAGCGCACGCAGGCGGUUUGUUAAGUCAGAUGUGAAAUCCCCGAGCUUAACUUGGGAACUGCAUUUGAAACUGGCAGGCUAGAGUCUUGUAGAGGGGGGUAGAAUUCCAGGUGUAGCGGUGAAAUGCGUAGAGAUCUGGAGGAAUACCGGUGGCGAAGGCGGCCCCCUNGACAAAGACUGACGNUCAGGUGCGAAAG
rnacentral:rRNA from 1 species